UACUGCAGCUUUUCUCACGCUCGGAGGUGCAAUGAAAACUGACCACUUCUCUAAUGACUUCCGUAAGCCUCCACACCUCUUUAAGGACUAAGGGGCCGUUUCCUCUUCUAGGUUUAACUCCUUCCAGUGUGUCUAUUCACUGUCGGAUUAGAACAUCUGGGCUGAGACAUGGAGAGCCAGCUGCCUCCCGGAGAUCAUCACUUGGAUAAGGAGCUUAAACUACACCCUGUCCUUCAUAAGCCUGUGUCUACCUCUAGGACUUCACAUCAAAAGAGGGCUUGCUAUUUGCCACACAAUGAAAAAAAAAAAAAGAAAGUUGAAAUGCACGAUCUCAUUUAACCCUCGUGAUAACCAAUCACAUGAGAUGUGUACUAUCUUUGAUGAAGAAAUUAAGUCUUAGAGCAGUUCCCUAAGCUCCAUGAGAUUAGAGACUGCCUUGUUCUGCUGGUGCUUCAACUUGAUGGGUGUGCAACACAAGCAGAUACUGAAUAAAUUCAUUCUAAACCGCUAAAACA
rnacentral:lncRNA from 1 species